CUUACUGUUAUGGAUGGCUUAGUGGUGGAAGAUGAUGUUAGACUUGCUGUGUAUUUGUUGAUGUUACUUGGGCAGAUUCUACUAUCAAAUUAUAUAUGCAUAUGCUUGUAAAUAUAUGAAAGAAAAGAAAGGUUUGGGGGUUUACCUUAGGAUGUGGAACAAAGUGUUGUUGGAUUGGGGAUUUGAUCCUACAAUUAUCUGCAAUACUCCCUCCUCGUACUCCUGUAUUAUAUGUGGGUGUAGAGAGAAUGUUUGAUAGUGAUGGAUGGCUAUUUCAGGAAACUUUGUGGGUUUAUAUACUUGCUUCCUUGCAAGUUGAGGAAAGUGGAAGGAGGUUUAUCUUGGGGAGGCUUAACUUCAUUGUCAUAUUUGUCAGAGAUAUUUUCUCUUUGAGGACGUGAUCUAUGGCCAAAAAGUGUUUUGAGUAAUGAGGGAUUAUACUAGGCGUUGAUCUCUCUUCAUUAGCGUUUAAAUGCCCACUUGCAAUAAAAAAAUACUUCUUUUAUAUGGUAUGUGAAUCUUAAAAAAAAAACAUUUCGUCAGCAAAUCUUGUUAGGAGCACUCAUUUGGGAAGUCGGUGAUGCUCAAAGGUGUGUCGGACUUAGUUGGGACGCGAGCAUUUGUAGUCAAGUGGAAUGUUUGAGACUUGCACACCUCUCUCACUUCCGAUUGGAUACGAGCACGACCGUUUUAAGGGCUGUCCGGACUUGCACAUUUCUCUAAUUGUAAUAGAUUAGGAAUUCGAUAAAUUUGUAUAAUAGUACAUUAGCGGACUUCGGAGAUGUGUCGGACAUUAUACACUUUUAUUUGGUGUUACUCUUUUAGUUUUACUUGAAAUGUUCUUUUGAGAACGAAA